rnacentral:tRNA from 1 species
GGCUGGAUAUGUUUCAACUGGAUAGAACACUAAGGUGUACCGGACAACCGAGUUCAAAUGGCUGCGAUACGGCCAGCCACGGUUCUGGUCCACUGGUGGGUUGCGGGUUCGACUCCCGCUCCAGGCC